rnacentral:tRNA from 1 species
GCCUUUAUAGCUCAAUUGGUAGAGCAUUUGCCUAGACACCGAAAGGCCCCCAGUUCAAGCCUAGGUAAAGACA